UUCCUUCCUUUUCCUUGGUCUUCAGCCUCGGUCAGGUUCAGGGUGUGAUUUUGUUGGGGUUUUUGGCGUGGCGAACACGUGCUGUGCCGUUGUUGCCGUGGUUGGCUGCUAGGACCCCUAGCCGAGCAAAAUUUCUCAUCCCCGUCUGACAUCGUGAUAGAGAUGGUGUCGUGGACCUUGGACAUCUGAACUCAAGAGACUGGCGGUUGAUCGUCCAGGGAGUUUCUGCGGAGCCACGUGUCACGGAGACCCGCUAUGAUAAGUGACCACAGUUAACCUCCACCCACGUGUCAGAAAUAAUUCGAACCCGCAGUGUAGUUUAAAUUAAUAUUAGAUUA